AAACUGUUUCUGGAUGAUCAGUUCAGAAUUAAGGACCUAGGGUCUUUACUUUAUUUUUUAGGCAUAGAGAUGCCAGUUGUUCCUGGUGGGAUGAUCCUUAAUCAGCAUAAAUAUAUUUCUGACCUGCUGCAUCAGUUUGACUGUGUCAGUGUCUCUUCUGUUGUCUGUCCUUUGGACAUUAAUGCAAAACUACAUGCUGAUUCUGGUGACCUUUUACCUUGUCCUGAUCAGUAUAGGAGUCUUGUUGGUAAGCUCUUAUUUCUGACUCAUACUAGGACUUCAUGCUGAUUCUAGUGACCUUUUACCUUUUCCUGAUAAGUAUAGGAGUCUUGUUGGUAAGCUCUUAUUUCUGACUCAUACUAGGCUUGACAUAUGUUUUGUUGUGCAACAUCUGAGUCAGUUUCUGAAAUGCCCCAGACUUCCACAUCUGACUGAUGCCCUCCGUGUGUUGAGAUAUCUUAAAGGUACCCCCUCUAUGGGUCUUUCUUAUUCUGACUGCAAUGAUUUCUCUGUUGUUGGUUAUUCUGAUACUGACUGGGCUGCCUGCCCUGAUACAAGGAGAUCUGUUACUGGGUUCUGUAUUGUUCUAGGUGGUUGCCUGAUUAGUUGGAAAUCUAAGAAGCAACCAAUGGUUUCUUUAUCUUCUGCUGAAGCUGAAUACAG
rnacentral:lncRNA from 1 species